rnacentral:pre_miRNA from 1 species
GUUUUACCAUGAGUUCCCUACAAGAACUUCACAAGGCAUAUUCCAAAUGCCACCGUGAAGUCUUUGGGGGAACUCUUGGUGCCAC